UAGGWGCUAAAAAAGGUAAUACUGUUUAGGAAACCUAUGCCUCUUGGCGGCCUUUUUUCUUAUCGAAGGAACUUGUCCAUUAAUCGAAAUUACCCGCUCAUUUUCUCUUUCGUCUAGUUUUUAUACCGUCGUCUCAAGAAUAUAAUUAUACAUAUUAUUCUACACUGAACAUUUCAAAGAAGUCAGAUCAAGGUGAAGCUUAUACAAAAGACAAGGGUGAGUUAUGCUUAAGUGAUACUAAGGGCUUUUACUUGAAAAAGAUACUUAAAUUAAGAUUCGACAGUACCUUGUUCUUAAGAAGACUCAGGGAAGAAGUAAAAUAAGGUGU
rnacentral:rRNA from 1 species